rnacentral:rRNA from 1 species
UACGUAGGGUGCGAGCGUUAAUCGGAAUUACUGGGCGUAAAGCGUGCGCAGGCGGUUUUGUAAGCCAGAUGUGAAAGCCCCGGGCUCAACCUGGGAAUGGCAUUUGGGACUGCAAGGCUUGAGUGCGGCAGAGGAGACUGGAAUUCCUGGUGUAGCAGUGAAAUGCGUAGAUAUCAGGAGGAAUACCGAUGGCGAAGGCAGGUCUCUGGGCUGACACUGACGCUCAUGCACGAAAGCGUGGGGAGC